UACGGAGGGUGCAAGCGUUGCUCGGAAUUACUGGGCGUAAAGCGUGUGUAGGCGGCUUGGCAAGUUGGAUGUGAAAGCCCACGGCUCAACCGUGGAAGCGCACCCAAAACUGCUUCGCUCGAGUCUCGGAGAGGAAGGUGGAAUGCUUGGUGUAGAGGUGAAAUUCGUAGAUAUCAAGCAGAACACCUGCGGCGAAGGCGGCCUUCUGGACGAUGACUGACGCUGAGACACGAAAGCGUGGGGAGCAAACAGG
rnacentral:rRNA from 1 species